CCGAACUGUCAACACGAGUUGUUGCUGGUCCUCAAGUGGGGACAUGUGCACGCUCUGUUUACACAUCCACUCACACCUGUGCAUCCUCUGUAGUUCUGUGGCCAGGGGGACUCCAUCCUCCCGCUGUGGUUCUAUGUCUUUACACAUACACCGUAAUAAAGUCUCAUGGAGUGCAUGUCGCGUUUGACGCAAUACAAUA
rnacentral:misc_RNA from 1 species